rnacentral:lncRNA from 1 species
UACUACAUAAAUAAAAAUAAAUGGUAUGGAAACUCCAAUGGAGAAAAUAAAGUUAGGUUUCAAACGUUCACCGUGUACAUGCAACAGGUCAAUUUGGAUAAGGGAAAGGGAUCUCAGUAUCUCACAGUUCCAAACUCCUAAUACAGGGAGGAAUAAAAGACAACACAUUCCCAUUCAGUGCAAGAUCUAACAGAAUCACGUGUAGUCAGUUAAAUAUAUGUUGUCAUAGACGGAGAAGGCAUUUACUCAGAUCAUCUUGCAAGAUCUAACGGAAUCACAGAUAUAACCUGUUUGGUAUAAAUACGGAAGUAACUAGCCUAGUCCUAUCUCCCAUGUUGCCACUGGUCCACAGUGACAGCUUAAUCCAUUGUAAAAUGAACACAGCUUAAGUAUAAUGAACAAACCCGCACGGAAUGUAGAAAUCUCAGUUCACCAAACGCACAGCAUAUGCAGCAAACUUAAGAACACCACUCGUGCUAUGGAAACUACGCCUUCAAAAGUCACAACCGGCCACACUGCUUCCACAGUAAUUCCACCAUAAACAGGGGCGGGGGAGCUACAGUGGCAAGCUUAAUCUGGCCACACAUCAUAGAUGGAGUUUACUAUGAAUGUAUGAUUGGUUCACCAAGACAUUGCUCUAACUGAAUGCUUCUUAGCAAAUAACGGACUGUACUGCUUGCCACUAACUUUUUUGCGUAUACUUUUUGGUCCAUGGUGCUGACUUGGCCAUACCAAAAUUUCAAUCCGUCCUCCGCCACUGACCAGAAAGACAAAUGGCACAACCUCCUAAAGUGACAGCUUCAUAGGAGGAAUUAGACCUCGGAACCCCUGCUUUAUGUAUCACGUUACAGAAAUGUUAAUGCCCACAGUUAGGCCAUAAAUUUUCCAAUUAAACUAGCAUUAUUUCUAGUAUUGUAGUUUCACCUGGAUUAAUACGGGAGAAUAAUGCAGCGUUACUGCAUUUUUUUUGGAGCACUUACUAAUUCUCGAAAUUUAAGCAAUCUGUAACAUUACCAAAACAGUGAGAGAAAAUUUGAAUAAAAAACUACUAGCGAAUAAAACGAUGCAUUACAUGGUUCAAACCAAAAACCAAACUACAUUUUGAUUUAAGUUUACUGCUGAUUAUAAUUUAAAACCUCACACGAAUCCACUCGCUCGUUUCCCAGUCUAACACAAGCGAGAGAGAACAGGAAACGAGCCAGAAUGACCCAUGACCCACUAAUCAGCUACUCCCUCCUUUCCGGCUUAUAGGGCUCAAUUCAAAAAUCUCACCAAACAAGGUAGAUGAUGAGUGGUGGAAUACUUUUUGUAGUUUGCAAAAGCACCUAAUUAAUGCUCUUGUUUUUCUCAAAAAAUUAUGUUUAUCAAUGUAUUAAUUGCAAUGCAUGCAUGCAUAAAGUACAUGCAUUGAUCAAUUUUCUCUUAAUACUUACAUGCAAUGAUUUAAUGCACCUUGGAAUCUGAACAUGUGAUGGAGAACAACCAGAUUAAGCCUUAUAAAAUAAAAAAACUAAAAUUUUAAGAUAAGCCCUAUAAACCGAAAAAAGGAAGUACGGCGUUGGACUGGCUGCUGAUCAGGGGCACGCCGCGCCAUGAGCAGAACGAAGCGAAGCUUCAACGCGUCACUCACAACCACAAGCGCGCCGCACCGAGACUACCACCGAUUUUACGCGCGACGGCACGCUCCGUCCGUCCAGCCGCGGAGGGAUCGGGAGGGGGAGGGGGAGGAGGAGGAACAAGGGACUGCACUGGAUACUUACAGAGGAACUGGAGCUCGCGGGGGCGGAUCUCUAGGAGGGCCUCCCCGCUUCCAAGAACAGCAGCCAAGCAAAUACUUUGACUUUGUUGGGAUCUAUGGAUCCAAGACUAGUGCAGCAUUGGGGUGGACGUCAAUCUUCUGCCAUGGUCUUUGAGUACGAGAGAAAGAGAGGUGGUGCUGGUCCUCAAGGCGGAAGUCCGGCUAGACAGCAAACGCAGCGCA